rnacentral:lncRNA from 1 species
GCCAGACUGCGGUCGCGGGGUCAGUGGCGGGGCGCUGUCGUGGCUCUUCUGCUUUGACGUUAUCAGAGUGGAGCAGCGCCUGGGCCCGGGGCUCCUCCUGCUCCCACCAGAUCUCUAAGUUCGGGCAGAACCUGAAUGAACUCAGGGCUGUGACUGACUUUAACACCUUUCAGUGGACCACUGAGAGCUGAGUCCAUGCUGCUGAAAGAAGGGCCCUGUGGAUAUUCACUCUGUAGCCCUCAGGACAUCAUACCUAGCUGUUUAUGCAUCUGAACUUGGGUCUCUGCUGCCAAACUGGAAUUGGAGCAGCGGGAAGGUCUGGAAUGAGGUUCUGCUUGGUCCCAGAGAAGACCCACUCACUGCUUCUCCAUCAUGUCCACCUGCAGUUCGAAACCUUUGCACUGAUCAUCUUCCAUGUGGAGAGGAUCAUUCCAAGACAAUGAAGUCUUUCACAGUGGGCCCCUCUGAGGAUCCUGACUCAGCUUGCAUCCUGUGGAAAGUUCUGGGUUGUUUGUCUUGUCAUAAAAACAAGUUUCCUGCACCAGCCUUUGUAGUUUCCUCACCAGCUGUUUCCACUUCCAAAGUGGAUCCUUCAGAAUGCCUAACGAAGAGUUCAGGUGAAUAUACCCUCUCUCCUCAAAUAUUUCAAAGAGGCAUCCAAUCUUUUGCCUGAAAUUCAGCCUCACUUUGGUGACUAGCCAGCCUGACCUCCUCCAACGUUAAGGCCUGAACAAGGACAGGAUUCUGCACACAGAAACAUUCUUCUCAAAGUUAUUGCUGCUUCCCUCCUGUGAGAAACACUGAAGAGUUGCAUAUAAAUGAAUCAAAUUGCAUGACAAGGUAAAAUUAGGUAUGUGAAUUCUUUUGUUUGUACAUACUAAGUGGGGCUUUGCUUUUGCUUAGAAAUGCUUGCCUAAAAGCAAGCAGGAGCCAAGCAAAGUUGCCUUCUAAUCUUGUUUUUGCCUAGGGGGAUAUUGCCUGGAAGUGAGAGACUGGGCUGGAAUGAGCACAGCUGUAGUGUUGGGAUUCUUUCCCUUUCAGCCCAUUUAGAGCAAGCAACCCCUGUGUUCUUUUCAAAGUAAGCUUUGUGCCCUGAUUGUUAAGCAGUGUAAGGGGACUCCUCAGUUGACCCCUUGAAGUGGCCUGGGGGAGAAUUCAAGAUGUGGACAGCAACUGCUGGCACCAGCCCAGAUACAUGAGGGACAAUUUAGUUCAAUAUGUUUAGGGAAUGUUCCUCAAAUUAUCUUGUUAAAAAUCUGUCAUUCCCCCUUCCGGGCUGACAGUUGUAAAGAGUUUAAUGAAUAUGCAUUUUGAUAGGCAGACAGCCUCUUCUUCAUUUACUGCAUUUGUCCUUCAUCAGAUGAAGUCUGGACAAAGAACCCUUGUCAUCAUUCUGUGUCUAUUUGGCCAGAGAAGCAAUCUGAAUUAAUGUUCCAGCUGACCCAUCUGUAGAGGCCACGCGAGGCUGGACUCUAGAGG